rnacentral:snRNA from 1 species
GUGCUUGAUUUGGCAGCACAUACACUAAAAUUGGAACAAUACAGAGAAGAAUAGCAUGGCCCCUGUGCUAGAACAUGCAAAUUCAUGAAGCCUUCCAUAUUAAA